rnacentral:rRNA from 1 species
AUUGAACGCUGGCGGCAUGCUUUACACAUGCAAGUCGAACGGUAACAGGCCUUCGGGUGCUGACGGGUGGCGAACGGGUGAGUAAUGCAUCGGAACGUGCCCAGAGGUGGGGGAUAACGCAGCGAAAGCUGUGCUAAUACCGCAUGUGAUCUGAGGAUGAAAGCGGGGGACCAAGCAGCAAUGUUUGGCCUCGCGCCUCUGGAGCGGCCGAUGUCAGAUUAGGUAGUUGGUGGGGUAAAGGCCUACCAAGCCGACGAUCUGUAGCUGGUCUGAGAGGACGACCAGCCACACUGGGACUGAGACACGGCCCAGACUCCUACGGGAGGCAAGAGUGGGGAAUUUUGGACAAUGGGCGCAAGCCUGAUCCAGCAAUGCCGCGUGCGGGAAGAAGGCCUUCGGGUUGUAAACCGCUUUUGUACGGAACGAAAAGGCUCUGGCUAAUACCUGGGGCUGAUGACGGUACCGUAAGAAUAAGCACCGGCUAACUACGUG